AGUGGAGGCAAGCAUAGCUUGCUGGCGGUCUCUGCUUACCUGAGUACUUGCAGAGAUAUUCUGGCAUGCGCUCGGAUUCAUUCCGUCCCGUGCGUUGGUGACUUCCUCCUCUCUCCUCUGCGCCCUUCUCAAGACAAGAUGAGCAGACCACCAGUGGGAGGAGCAACACUGAGCAUUGGAGCUGCAACCGGACUGGAAAAUGGAGAGGGACAGAGCCAUGGGUGAAGAGACAAAGACAGUGAUGGGUGAAUCAAUGGAUGGUUUAGUGGCCUUAGUGGGGCAGCAGUUCUGACCAGGGAGAGCUGCUGUACAUAGAAUCAUAGAAUGGUUUAGAUUGUAAGAGACCUUAAAGAUCAUUUAGUUAUGCUCUGUCCCGUGGGCUGGCUGCCCCGCAUCAGAUCAGGCUGCCCAGGGCCCAUCCAUGGCGUUGGGCACUUCCAGGGAUGGAGCACCCACACUUCUCUGUGCAGUAUGUGCCAUGUCCUCACAACACAUCUCCUUGCUCUGGUAAUGAGGCCAUUGACUCCAGUUUCACCUGGAAUCCAUAUCCUGCUGCUGGUCACAUGGAGCAACCUCCUGUGCCUCCCCACAUGGCCCAGUGCUUCUGUUCCUCCGCUGAGCAGCCACUUCUGCCCCAUCCCUGGAGGUACCUAUGGCACCCUGAUCUAGUGGUUGGCAACCCCGCCCACGGCAUGGGGCUUGGAGCCUUAUAAUCUCUGAGGUCCCUUCCAACUCAAGCCAUUCUACGAUCCUCUGAUUCUUCCCUCCCCUGCAAGAAGCUCCAGAUCCCACAUACCCUGCUUGGCAUCCCAAACGUGCCAAACUGGCAGGAGCAAAAGCAACUUCUUAUUUUUCUUUUCUGUGCUCAUUCGACUCUGGCCCGCGGCCAGUCGCUAUCUUCAUUUAUUGUAAUGAAUUUGUGCCAUUAAUAUGUUGGCUGUGCGGAGCAAUCGCAAAGUAGUACAUUAGGACAAAAGCUAUUGCUCUGGAUGCCAGCGCUUUAUUGCUGCUGCUGAUUUACGGGCUGAUAAGCAACGCCGCGCGUCCUUGAGAUGGGAAAAGGACAGGUAGUGUGGCAGGGACCCGCAUUGUGGCAGGGUGUGGGAUUUCCCAGGCCUCGCACAGCUGGGGGUGGACUUGACGAUUCCAUCUUUUCUCUGGAAAACGUCUUCGCCUGAGUGUGAGCCCGGAGGAACGCCGCAGACAAAGCCAGUGUGAAAGUCCCAGGCGCUUGGAAAGGAGAUUAAAUGCCAUCACAAUACUGUAGGUUUGGGAGCUUCUGUGUGAGCAGCUCAUAAUAGAGCCAUGUCAUCACUUUAUUGCAAAGAUACGAUAAAGACAGGCAUUAUACGGUGUUAACAUUUAACAGCCAUAACUUAACUUUCAAAAGACUUCGCAGACCAAGUCACAGUGAAUUGUUUCUUUCUCUGCGUUUAAUCCCGGGCUCACAUGCUAUAGAGCAAGAGCAUUUACAGCCAGCGCUAAGCACAGACAGCCAGACCUGUCUGCCUGUCAGCUCCGCGAGUAAUCCCCUGAAGAGCAGCCGUACAUAGAGUGAUUUAAAGGGAAAGCAUGGAACAAGGGGAGCACAGACAACACAGAAACCACUGUCAGAAAGAGAUGCCAAGCAGCCCUGUCCCGGGGCUGAUCCUGUGCCCAGCAGUGCCAGUCUCCCUGCAGUGCUUAUGGCUACAGGAUACGACCCGGAGUUGCCAAGUUAUAGGAGGAACUCAAGCACCCGGAGUUUAUAAAAGUGGGAUGACGUGGGAGACGGCCUCUUGAGUCAAAAAGCGACUGCUGUGGAGCUGGGAGGAAAAUCCCCAUGGCUGGAGCAGGGGGAGAGCAUCACGGCUGUGACCCCAGAGCUGGGGUCAGCCCCCGCGCAGGGACAUCCCCCUGGGAAAUGGAGCGGGCAGUGCGGGGCACGGUCACUCCCCCUCUUAAUGAGCCCUGUCAGCUUGCCUUGCAUUUUAGCUAAUUAAUUACUCCACUUCGGAGCUGCGCUUUGAGUUGACACCAGCACCGCAGGAAGGAACGGGGGUUGAUUUCAAUCCCCUCUCUGUUUGUUUGCUCUCACAGUCCGGAUCCACACAACAGGAAACGUUGGGUGAGUGCUCAGGGAAAAUAGUCAGCAGCGCUAUCUGAGAGCCAUAUCAAAGAGAUUUGGGCCAGAAGUGGACCCAGCUGCUGUGAAGCUAUUAGCAGCAUCUCAGGCUUCCUGUGUACAGCGGGUUAGGGGGCGAGCACUGCCCACAUGUUUGCUUGCUGGAAUAGUCACCAGCACUGCCAUGAACUCACAGCCCUGAACAGACCUUCCGAAAGUAGUUCAGAGUGGAAGCAGCAGGAAGGAGGGAUUUUCUGGCCUGGAAUAUUUUCGCCCUUUAAGGGCUACAGUGCAAGAUCUUCCUUGAGUGGGUCUGUUGCUGGCAUGCUGGGAGCAGGCAUGCACCAACGCAUGCAAGAUGGCAAGAUGGGUGAGCGAGGCUGUGCAGAUAGCCUGACCUCACUCAGGGCAGCAACACCAGGACAACAGCAUUGGGAUCAUCACUGGGAAAGCUCAGAAAGCUCCAGCGGAGUGAUGUAUAAGGAAAAGCUGCAGUGCGGGGCAAAUUGUCUCUCCCAGCGCCUGGAGCCUGCAGCCUCACUAUGAGGAGGAGGAGGAGGAGGAGGCAGUGAACCCAUCCCAGGGCAAGGCAAUGGGUGAAGUGGGCAUCUGCCUAAAUCCCAUCUGGCCACACACCUCAGAGCUGGAACAUGCAAGAUUUUGUUGAUGGGACCAAUAAUCAGAGCACAGUGUAAUCAGCCCCCUGGGAUGUCUGAGAUCCCACUCUCAGCUGACACCUGCAGCAAGGCCUGUGUUCCUCAUGGCAUGUAAGGGCUCAAGCUCUCUGCAGACACUGUGGGACAUUCAGGACAAUGCUGAUUUGCUCUCACUUCUCUCCAUUGGCUCCAGAGGAACCCAAGCUUUCCAGGAAUACCAAGGCAAAGGCACCCAAACUCAACCUGAAGCACCCAGCCUGCUGAUACCGAGCUUCUUUGGCUCUGUUCCCACUGGACCACCUAUGGAUGUCGAUGAAGACAACAAGGAGACUUAAUGGAUUCAAACAAGCUUUGGAUGAAUCCUUCAAAGCACCCUGGAAAUUCAGCUGUUUCCCCAGUUCUACUCUGCACAGAUCCACAGGUGGACCAGGAAUGGAUGGAGGAAUUAUAUUAGCCCCAUUGUGCAGUGCAGCACCCCUGCUCCUCAUCCAACAGAUCCUGAAGGGCCGUCCCCAAAUCUGUGGUUUUAUUGCUCUUCUGGAAUUGUACUCUGGACCUGAAGACUUCCAGGCAAAGCAUAGAGCUUUUCCAUGGGCUCCAGAGGGCUCCUCAGGGCUGAGCCAUUCCCAGUACCGCCCGUCCCUGACCUCAGACAAGGCUCCAAUUAGGACUUUCAGUUAUUUUUCUUUGAAACAAACACAGGGCAAUGGGGAAAAGCAUCCUUAUCAUCUGGGGAUAUUCACAUUUUUACUACAUUUUCUUUCAGUUCUGAUUUUUUUUUUUCCCCAGAACCAGUUAAUCCAUUUCUUUUGGACUUGUACCUUCAAGGCAAGAGCUGCAGCACAACGUGCGGCCAAGCCAUUCCAGAAAAAUGCCUUCACUACAGAACAUGAACUUCCCAUUAUAGAGGCUGCAUAUGUGCUCUGAUUGAUCCCUAAACUGGCAUUUCAAUUUAUUUCCCACUGGAGGACUCAUUCAUUACAGAGAAAUAAGACUAUUAAAUGCAUGAUAAAGCACAUGCAUCAACAGACGAGAAUGGUGGUUACUUUACUGUACCUAUCUAAACAAUAGCUGAUAAAUAAAGCCAUUCAUGAUCACAUAGGACCUUUUAAAAUGAAUAAGGAAACAGUAAUAUGCUCAUUAUUAAAGCAGCUGAUUAAAAAAAAUAGCUUGCCAGCAUUAACACCACACACACUUUGCUGCUGCAUCCCUGGCUGUGGGACGGAGGCAGCUCGAAGGCACAGAUUGCGAGCAACCUGCCUGCAACCUGCCCAAGUCCCAGCAGCCUGCAGAUGUGUGCAGCUGUGCUGAUGUGGCAGCAGGCUCUUACCUCCAGCAGCAGGGAAAGAUGCCCAAAGGAGCCCAUGCAAGCUGCUUUUUUCAAGCUUCCAUCGUUUUUUCUUUAACUACUGCAUUGACUUUCUACCCAACAGCCUCUGGAGAGAAGCAGAAUAGUGGUGCAGGUGUAGAAUUCUUUAUACGUAUCAUAGAACCACAGAAUGGCUUAGGUUGGAAGGGACCUUAAAGAUCAUCGAGCUCCAAC
ensembl:lncRNA